rnacentral:rRNA from 1 species
UACGUAGGGGCAAGCGUUGUCCGGAAUUAUUGGGCGUAAAGGGCACGCAGGCGGUCCUUUAAGUCUGAUGUGAAAUCUUGCGGCUUAACCGCAAGCUGUCAUUGGAAACUGAAGGACUUGAGUGCAGAAGAGGAGAGUGGAAUUCCACGUGUAGCGGUGAAAUGCGUAGAGAUGUGGAGGAACACCAGUGGCGAAGGCGACUCUCUGGUCUGCAACUGACGCUGAGGUGCGAAAGCGUGGGUAGCGAACAGGAUUAGA